rnacentral:lncRNA from 1 species
UCUAGUAAGUAUUUGAAGUGACAGCUAAUUAUUUUUUUCAUGCUUUCUAGUUUAUGGUACUAUCUUUCUUUUUAAUAUGAGGAAAACUUUAUGGUAGUAUCAUAUCUACUAUUUCCUAUAUUUGUCAUUCUUGUUGAAUACAGUAUUUUUGGUGUUUUACCAUUAAAGGGGGAAAAGAAAAAUCAGAUCUAUUUGUUUGAUUAUGUAAAGGACAAAUAUUUGUUAGACAGUCGAAUUUAUGCUUUAUGAUUCUAACAAAGAAAAGAGAUGUUAGUAACAUUUCUUGUUAACCUCAAUAAAAAAAGGAAAAAUAGAAAAGUGCAUUGUUUCUUGUGUUUUUCUUCUCAUACAUGAACAUUUGUUAGGUCUUGUAGCUUAAUCUAGAUUCCACUUUGAUAAUUUUCCAGAGUAGACAACCUUGGUGGUGGUAUCAACAUUGGCCUUGAUGUUAUCAAGGAUGUGGUUCCUGUUGCAAAGGAUCGCUCGAAGUUCAAAACAUUACCAUGCUCUGCUAUGUCUGAAAUAAGAAACAAAGUCAAUCUAAGGUGUUUAGAAUGUUUACCAAUUGUUAGAUUGUUCCCACAGCGUCCUUGCCAAGUGAUAGUCCAUCCUCCACACUGACAGCCCAAGUUGUCCGCAUGGUUCCCAGCUACAAGGAUCUUCUUGGCCUUCUUAGGAAGAGGCUGGAUUGUCCGUAAACUUUCCAUUUUUUAGUAGUACAAGUGAUUUCUCGCCUCUUAGGAAGCCUCCUCCUAUAAACCUCCUUAGUUUUUUUCUUUUUCUUUUUGUUUUUUGAGCAACCCACGAGAAGACCCUACUAACCUUCACCUGAUUCAGGCCUGCGAGUCCUUACAUUUUUAUUUUUCAUUUGAAUGCGAAAGCAACAGGCGGUCUUAUAUAUUUUUCCCUUCGCUGCAUGUUUAUAGUCUGAAAUAAGAUAAGAAAUUUGUGUUGAAAUAAUUAGAUUGAAAGGGCUUAAAAUGCUCUUCGUAUUCAAGUUUCUCUCACAAUUAGGGCUUCUAGUAAGUAUUUGAAGUGACAGCUAAUUAUUUUUUUCAUGCUUUCUAGUUUAUGGCACUAUCUUUCUUUUUUUAUUAUGAGGAAAACUUUAUGGUAGUAUCAUAUCUACUAUCUCCUAUAUAUGACAUUCUUGUUGAACACAGUAUUUUUGGUGUUUUACCAUUAAAGGGGGAAAAGAAAAAUCAGAUCUAUUUGUUUGAUUAUGUAAAGGACAAACAUUUGUUAGACAGUCGAAUUUAUGCUCUAUGAUUCUAACGAAGAAAAGAGAUGUUAGUAACAUUUCUUGUUAACCUCAAUAAAAAAAGGAAAAAUAGAAAAGUGCACUGUUGCUUGUGUUUUUCUUCUCAUACGUGAACACUUGUUAGGUCUUGUAGCUG